rnacentral:snoRNA from 1 species
CCCUUGUUGUUCCCACAACACAUGUCUUUGGGCAUGUAAGAAUUUAAGGCAAAGAAAUGUGGAUUUGAAGAAAUCUGGGGUGAGUUUGCUCCCUGCAGACUCAAGAUCAAACUAUAGCACAUAG